rnacentral:rRNA from 1 species
CAGUCGCCACGGUAAUACAGAGGAUGCAAGCGUUAUCCGGAAUUACUGGGUGUAAAGGGAGCGUAGACGGUUAAACAAGUCUGAAGUGAAAUGCCGGGGCUCAACCCCGGAGCUGCUUUGGGAACUGUAGAACUGGAGUGUCGGAGGGGUAAGCGGAAUUCCCAGUGUAGCAGUGAAAUGCGUAGAUAUUGGGAGGAACACCGGCGGCGAAGGCGGCUUACUGGACGACAACUAACGUUGAGGCUCGAAGGCGUGGGUAGCAGACAGGAUUAGAUACCCCAGUAGUCCCUGUCUCUUAUAA